CUCCAAUCUCUGGAUUCAACAAGUUUUGUAGGAACAGGCACGUGAAUCCUUGAGGAAUAACCAAGCCCAAGCCAACGAUGUUAAAUUUGUUAUGUGUUUCUCAGAGUAUGUGAUCAUUAGCAACCAUCGUGAUGCCUAGAUAUAUGGGCAGUCAAUCCCAACAUUUGUACAUGAGUUAUGCUCGAGUUGCAGGGAGGUUAUCCAAGCGGAAAAAGAAAGCAUCCACGCCAGGUGAAACAACAAGCUAAUGCAACCGGGGCAUUUUGCAUU